rnacentral:rRNA from 1 species
CGAAGACGGCCUUCAAAUUCCGCUUCACCUCCCUCCGCCUCGCGCACAAAAGCGGGGGAGGAAGGAGGGGAUGAAGUCAAAUCAGCAUGGCCCUCUGAUGCCCUGGGCUACACACAUGUUACAAUGGUCGGGACAAUGGGCUGCCAAGCCGCAAGGCGGAGCUAAUCCCAUCAAACCUGGCCUCAGUUCGGAUUGAGGGCUGCAACCUGCCCUCAUGAAGCCGGAAUCGCUAGUAAUCGCAGAUCAGCUAUGCUGCGGUGAAUACGUUCUCGAGUCCUGUACUCACUGCCCGUCACUUUAAGGGAGCCGGUAAUAGGUGAAAUCUCCUCACGGGGAUCAGCCUGAGAUCGGUGACAUGAAAGAAGUCGUAACAAGGCACCGGUAGCGGAAGCUGUCGGUGGAUCAAUUAAACA